AAAAAAUACAAUCAAUGACAAAGUGUCCCCUUAUAAACCUAUUGGUCAGAUCCCCACGCCAGGUGCUUUCUCCCAGAUAUAUAUACAGGCACACACGUACACACAGACAGACACAGUUACACAUUCAAACCCACACAUACACACAGAGAUAAUCACUCAUACAUGUUCAUAAACACACAAACAGAUACAGAUUCCCAGGCACACACAUAGAUUCAUAAUGACAAACACACACAGAGAUACACACUGACAUACACACACAGAUUCAUACAGAUACACACUGAAAAACACAAACAAAUUCAUAAUGAGAAACACACACAGAUAUGAAGUCCCACAAAACACAAUGGUAGCCACACUCUCUCACAGACACAUUGCAGAAAGAUCCACAGAUCCACACUCCCAGACAUACUCAAACACACAAAUUUAGAAAAAUAUGUAUACAUUUUUUUUUAGUCACCUUUCUGUGUUGUGUACAUGACAUAUGCAUAGUCGCCUUUUUGGCAUAAGUGAUAUAAACAACCCCCCAAAACCCAAGGAUACGCAGACACCAUAUGUUUGGGAAAAUUAUCUCAGCUUUAGUAAUAAAUAAAAUCUAUAAAAUAUUAACCCCUUAAAGGACCACAUAGUGCCCGGAAAAUAUACUCGUUUUCCUGGCACUAUAGUGCACUGAGGGUGCCCCCACCCUCAGGGUCCCCCUCCCGCCGGGCUCUAGGUGGUGGAAGGGGUUAAAUUUACCUAUUUUUCCAGCGCUGGGCGAGGGACUCUCCUCCUCCCUCUCGUCGUCAUCGGCUGAAGGCGCAUGCGCGGCAGGAGCCUCGCGCGCAUUCAGCCAGUCCAUAGGAAAGCAUUCUCAAUGGCAUUCUCACUGUAUAAAAAUCACAUUGAGGAUUGCGGAAGCGCCUCUAGCGGCUGUCAAUGAGACGGCCACUAGAGUCUGGAUUAACCCUAAAGUAAACAUAGCAGUUUCUCUGAAACUGCUAUGUUUACAGCAGAAAGGGUUAAUCCUAGAU